UCAGCCAAAACGAGGCACGGCAUACAGCUCAGUAACACGUGGCUAAUCUGCCCUUGGGACGUGAACACCCCCGGGAAACUGGGGCUAAUUCUCGAUAGGUAAAGAACUCUGGAAUGAGUCUUUGCCUAAAAGAGCUUACGUUAUGCUCGUAAGUUUCGCCCAAGGAUGAGGCCGCGACCGAUCAGGUUGUUGGCGAGGUAAUGGCUCACCAAGCCUUUUACCGGUGCGGGCCGUGAGAGCGGGAGCCCGGAGAUGGGCACUGAGACAAGGGCCCAGGCCCUACGGGGCGCAGCAGUCGCGAAAACUUUGCAAUACACGAAAGUGUGACAGGGCUAUCCCGAGUGCCAUCCGCUGAGGAAGGCUUUUACCCAGUCUAGAAAGCUGGGGGAAUAAGGAGAGGGCAAGUCUGGUGUCAGCCGCCGCGGUAAUACCAGCUCUCCGAGUGGUGUGGAUGUUUAUUGGGCCUAAAGCAUCCGUAGCUGGCUAAGUUAGUCCCUUGUUAAAUCCACCGAAUUAAUCGUUGGAUCGCGGGGGAUACUGCUUGGCUAGGGGACGAGAGAGGCAGACGGUAUUUUUGGGGUAGGGGUGAAAUCCUAUAAUCCCAGGAAGACCACCAGUGGCGAAGGCUGUCUGCUAGAACGCGCCCGACGGUGAGGGAUGAAAGCUGGGGGAGCGAACCGGAUUAGAUACCCGGGUAGUCCCGGCUGUAAACGAUGCAGGCUAGGUGUUUGGACGGCCACGUGCCGUUCUAGUGCCGCAGGGAAGCUGUUAAGCCUGCCGCCUGGGGAGUACGAUCGCAAGAUUGAAACUUAG
rnacentral:rRNA from 1 species